GACGAACGCUGGCGGCGUGCUUAACACAUGCAAGUCGAGCGGAGCGGCGAACGGGUGAGUAACGCGUGAGUAACUGCCCCCCUCCCUGGGAUAACAGUUGGAAACGGCUGCUAAUACCGGAUAGGGGGGGAUGACUUGCGUCCUAUCGGCUUGUUGGUGGGGUAGUGGCCUACCAAGGCGACGCCGGGUAGCCGGCCUGGGAGGGCGACCGGCCAACUAGGGCUUAGAUAAGGCCCCAACUGCUACGGGAGGCAGCAGUGGGGAAUAUUGAACAAUGGGGGAAACCCUGAUGCAGCAACGCCGCGUGCGGGAUGACGGCCUUCGGGUUGUAAACCGCUUUCAGCCAUGACGCGGUAGUGGCAGAAGAAGCACCGGCUAACUACGUGCCAGCAGCCGCGGUAAUAC
rnacentral:rRNA from 1 species